GUCGGGAAUAUUGCGCAAUGGAGGAAACUCUGACGCAGUGACGCCGCGUAUAGGAAGAAGGUUUUCGGAUUGUAAACUAUUGUCGUGAGGGAAGAAAAUGACAGUACCUCAGGAGGAAGCUCCGGCUAACUAUGUGCCAGCAGCCGCGGUAAUACAUAGGGAGCAAGCGUUAUCCGGAAUUAUUGGGUGUAAAGGGUGCGUAGACGGGAAAUUAAGUUAGUUGUGAAAUCCCUCGGCGUAACUGAGGAACUGCAACUAAAACUGAUUUUCUUGAGUACGGGAGAGGAAAGUGGAAUUCCUAGUGUAGCGGGGAAAGGCGGAGAGAGUAGGAGGAACACCAGUGGCGAAGGCGACUUUCUGGACAGUAACUGACGGGGAGGCAAGAAAGGGGGGGGAGCAAACAGGA
rnacentral:rRNA from 1 species